rnacentral:rRNA from 1 species
AUUGGUGAUGAUUGAUUAGUGGUCCCACCUGGUCCCAUGCCGAACCCAGAAGUUAAGCACUAAAACGCCGAAAAUAGUAUAUCUAAAAUAUGCAAAGAUAGGGGAUUGCCAAUU